rnacentral:rRNA from 1 species
UACGGGGGGGGCAAGCGUUGUUCGGAAUUACUGGGCGUAAAGGGCUCGUAGGCGGCCAACUAAGUCCGACGUGAAAUCCCCAGGCUUAACCUGGGAACUGCGUCGGAUACUGGAUGGCUUGAAUCCGGGAGAGGGAUGCGGAAUUCCAGGUGUAGCGGUGAAAUGCGUAGAUAUCUGGAGGAACACCGGUGGCGAAGGCGGAUCUCUGGGCCUUACCUGACGCUGAGGCGCGAAAGCUAGGGGAGCAAACAGG